AGGACGAACGCUGGCGGCGUGCUUAACACAUGCAAGUCGAGCGGAAAGGCCCUUCGGGGUACUCGAGCGGCGAACGGGUGAGUAACACGUGAGCAACCUGCCCUUAGCUUCGGGAUAGCUCCGGGAAACCGGAAUUAAUACCGGAUAUGACUAUGGCCGACAUCAGCCAUGGUGGAAAGUUUUUCGGCUAGGGAUGGACUCGCGGCCUAUCAGCUAGUUGGUGAGGUAACGGCUCACCAAGGCGACGACGGGUAGCCGGCCUGAGAGGGCGACCGGCCACACUGGGACUGAGACACGGCCCAGACUCCUACGGGAGGCAGCAGUGGGGAAUAUUGCGCAAUGGGCGAAAGCCUGACGCAGCGACGCCGCGUGGGGGAUGAAUGCCUUCGGGUUGUAAACCCCUUUCAGCAGGGACGAAGCGAAAGUGACGGUACCUGCAGAGAAGCGCCGGCUAACUACGUGCCAGCAGCCGC
rnacentral:rRNA from 1 species